AUUGAACGCUGGCGGCAUGCCUUACACAUGCAAGUCAAACGGCAGCACGGGUGCUUGCACCUGGUGGCGAGUGGCGAACGGGUGAGUAAUACAUCGGAACGUACCUUAUCGUGGGGGAUAACGCAGCGAAAGCUGUGCUAAUACCGCAUACGCCCUGAGGGGGAAAGCGGGGGAUCGAAAGACCUCGCGCGAUUAGAGCGGCCGAUGCCUGAUUAGCUUGUUGGUGGGGUAAAAGCCCACCAAGGCGACGAUCAGUAGCUGGUCUGAGAGGACGAUCAGGCAAACUGGGAAUGAGACACGGCCCAGACUCCUACGGGAGGCAGGAGUGGGGAAUUUUGGACAAUGGGGGCAACCCUGAUCCAGCAAUGCCGCGUGAGUGAAGGAGGCCUUCGGGUUGUAAAGCUCUUUUGUCAGGGAAGAAACACCGGCUCUAACACAGUCCGGGAAUGACGGUACCUGAAGAAUAAGCACCGGCUAACUACGUGCCAGCCGCCGCGGUAA
rnacentral:rRNA from 1 species